rnacentral:rRNA from 1 species
AUUGAACGCUGGCGGCAUGCCUUACACAUGCAAGUCGAACGGCAGCACGGGAGCAAUCCUGGUGGCGAGUGGCGAACGGGUGAGUAAUAUAUCGGAACGUGCCCAGUCGUGGGGGAUAACGUAGCGAAAGCUACGCUAAUACCGCAUACGAUCUAUGGAUGAAAGCGGGGGAUCGCAAGACCUCGCGCGAUUGGAGCGGCCGAUAUCAGAUUAGGGAGUGGGUGGGGUAAAGGCUCACCAAGCCGACGAUCUGUAGCUGGUCUGAGAGGACGACCAGCCACACUGGGACUGGGACACGGCCCAGACUCCUACGGGAGGCAGCAGUGGGGAAUUUUGGACAAUGGGCGCAAGCCUGAUCCAGCAAUGCCGCGUGCAGGAAGAAGGCCUUCGGGUUGUAAACUGCUUUUGUACGGAACGAAACGGUCCUGGUUAAUACCUGGGGCUAAUGACGGUACCGUAAGAAUAAGCACCGGCUAACUACGUGCCAGCCGCCGCCGUAAUAC